GUGAUUGGAGGGGGUGUUUGGUCGGUCGCCGCGCUGGCUGGGUUUGUGGGGGCUUUGCUGUACCUCAGGCGAAGGUAUCGGAGAGAGAACGAGCUCCUUCUGCUCCUUGUUCAAGAGAAGGACUGCUGGCUGGGUUUGUGGGGGCUUUGCUGUACCUCAGGCGAAGGUAUCGGAGAGAGAACGAGCUCCUUCUGCUCCUUGUUCAAGAGAAGGACCAGGUACCAUGCUUUGCCUGAUUCCAUUUCUAUCCGUCUUUGAUCCAGUAAUUAUUGGCUGGCUUGUAAUUUAGUAUUGUCGUUUAUGAUUCUAUUUCAGUAUUGAUCCC
rnacentral:lncRNA from 1 species